ACAUUCCGAAAGGGAUGCUAAUACCGCAUACGUCCUACGGGAGAAAGCAGGGGAUCUUCGGACCUUGCGCUAAUAGAUGAGCCUAAGUCGGAUUAGCUAGUUGGUGGGGUAAAGGCCUACCAAGGCGACGAUCUGUAGCGGGUCUGAGAGGAUGAUCCGCCACACUGGGACUGAGACACGGCCCAGACUCCUACGGGAGGCAGCAGUGGGGAAUAUUGGACAAUGGGGGGAACCCUGAUCCAGCCAUGCCGCGUGUGUGAAGAAGGCCUUAUGGUUGUAAAGCACUUUAAGCGAGGAGGAGGCUACUGAGACUAAUACUCUUGGAUAGUGGACGUUACUCGCAGAAUAAGCACCGGCUAACUCUGUGCCAGCAGCCGCGGUAAUACAGAGGGUGCGAGCGUUAAUCGGAUUUACUGGGCGUAAAGCGUGCGUAGGCGGCUUUUUAAGUCGGAUGUGAAAUCCCCGAGCUUAACUUGGGAAUUGCAUUCGAUACUGGGAAGCUAGAGUAUGGGAGAGGAUGGUAAAAUUCCCGUGUAGCGGUGAAAUGGCGUAGAGAUCUGGAAGGAUUACCUGAUGGCGAAGGCAGGCAUCUGUCCUACUACUGACGCUGAGGUACGAAAGCAUGGGGAGCAAACAGGAUUAGAUACCUUGGUAGUCCAUGCCGUAAACGAUGCUACUAGCCGUUUGGGGCCUUUGAGCUUUAUUGCC
rnacentral:rRNA from 1 species